AUUGAACGCUGGCGGCAUGCCUUACACAUGCAAGUCGAACGGUAACGGGCCUUCGGGUGCCGACGAGUGGCGAACGGGCGAGUAAUACAUCGGAACGUGCCCGAUCGUGGGGGUUAACGAGGCGAAAGCUUUGCUAAUACCGCAUACGAUCUAAGGAUGAGAGCAGGGGACCGCAAGGCCUUGCGCGGGCGGAGCGGCCGAGGCCAGAUUAGGUUGUUGGUGGGCUAAACGCUUACCAAGCCGACGAUCUGUAGCUGGUCUGAGAGGAUGAUCAGCCACACUGGGACUGAGACACGGACCAGACGCCUACGGGAGGCAGCAGUGGGGUAUUUUGGACAAUGGGCGCAAGCCUGAUCCAGCCAUGCCGCGUGCAGGAUGAAGGCCUUCGGGUUGUAAAGUGCUUUUGUACGGAACGAAAAGCCUUCUUUUAAUACAGGGGGGUCAUGACGGUACCGGAAGAAUAAGCACCGGCUAACUACGUG
rnacentral:rRNA from 1 species